GACGAACGCUGGCGGCGUGCUUAACACAUGCAAGUCGAACGGAAAGGCCCUGCUUUUGUGGGGUGCUCGAGUGGCGAAAGGGUGAGUAACACGUGAGUAACCUGCCCUUGACUUUGGGAUAACUUCAGGAAACUGGGGCUAAUACCGGAUAGGAGCUCCUGCUGCAUGGUGGGGGUUGGAAAGUUUCGGCGGUUGGGGAUGGACUCGCGGCUUAUCAGCUUGUUGGUGGGGUAGUGGCUUACCAAGGCUUUGACGGGUAGCCGGCCUGAGAGGGUGACCGGCCACAUUGGGACUGAGAUACUGCCCAGACUCCUACGGGAGGCAGCAGUGGGGAAUAUUGCACAAUGGGCGGAAGCCUGAUGCAGCAACGCCGCGUGCGGGAUGACGGCCUUCGGGUUGUAAACCGCUUUCGCCUGUGACGAAGCGUGAGUGACGGUAAUGGGUAAAGAAGCACCGGCUAACUACGUG
rnacentral:rRNA from 1 species